GAUGAACGCUGGCGGCGUGCCUAAUACAUGCAAGUCGAGCGAACAGGCGCUGCGCUUGCUUGUUUCACGUUAGCGGCGGGCGGGUGAGUCACGCGUGGAUAACGUCCCUAUCUGUCUGGUAUCACUUCGGGAAACCGGAGCUAACCCCGUAUAAUCUCUUGAUCCGCGUUGUUCAUUGGAAAAAUUCGGUCUUUCUGUCUCUUCUCGCUGCUUCCGAGCUGCUUUAGCUAGUUGUUAAGGUAACGGCUUACCAAGGCAACGAUGCCUGGCCGACCGAAGAGGGUGAUCGGCCACACUGGAACUGGGACACGGUCCAGACGCCUAAGGGAGGCAGCAGAAGGGAAUGUGACGCAAUGGGCGAAAGCAUGACGGAGCAACGCCGAGUGAGUGAUGAAGGUCUUCGGAUCGGAAAAAUCGGUUAUGAGGUAAGAACAGAUGUGGAAGUAAAUGAGGACAGAGUGACGGUACCUAAUCAGAAAGCAACGGCUAACUACGUG
rnacentral:rRNA from 1 species